AACGAACGCUGGCGGCGUGCCUAACACAUGCAAGUCGAGCGGGAAAGUUCCCUUCGGGGAGCGAGUACAGCGGCGAACGGGUGAGUAACACGUAGGUAACCUACCCUCGAGACUGGGAUAACCUGCCGAAAGGCGGGCUAAUACUAGAUAAGACCACGGGAGCUGCGGCUCUUGGGGUAAAAAGGUGGCCUCUGCUUGCAAGCUACCGCUCAAGGAUGGGCCUGCGCGCCAUUAGCUAGUUGGUGAGGUAACGGCUUACCAAGGCUGGGAUGGCUAGCUGGUCUGAGAGGAUGGCCAGCCACACUGGGACUGAGACACGGCCCAGACUCCUACGGGUGGC
rnacentral:rRNA from 1 species